CCGGAAUCAGAAAAGUGGAUAUGCAAUAAUGAAAUACCUAGAGUCGCAUUAUAGAUCCCAAACUUUAAAAAUAUAUAUAUUCUCGGAUUUCUCCCACAAGACAUGAUUAAGAUAAGCACAUACUGUGGAAUCUGGAGCUGUAUUUAUGCUUUAACCCUGUCAUGUUUGUUUGGGCUGGUUUAUGUAUUAUUAAUCGUUUGUGAGGAAGAGGGUUAGCAUUCUACAGGCAGUAUUUUAAAAACUGUAAUCUGCCAAUUACCACCACCUGGUGGUGAGCUAUCAAACUAUGAGGGCAACACAUUUUGACCACAUAUGUAAUGAAGAAAAUGGAGACCAAAGAAAACAUUUCUUAACCCCCCCCACAGAGCUUCUGCAAGCUUUGACUGCAUCUCACCAAAAAUAUGUUACUUACAUGUCUUGAUGUUUUCCUGUAGCUACAUUGUUGCUUUAUAACAACACAUCACCUCACUAUCUGGAGUCAGAAAACUGUUGAUAAAACUGUCCAGGCUGGCAUGCAUUAAUGGAUACUGUUGGCAUACACACAGCUUAAGUGCUUUGGAUAUAUUAGCCCUGAACUCUCUGAGGGAUCCAUUUCACAGGGCUCUUCCUGUCAAUAAAAUCCCUAAAUUCAGAUUGAGAGAAAGACAUCCACCAUCUGAAUGUACUCUGAUGAGCAUCGAUCCCUGGAAACUAAUACCGUUCACCAGCCAAAUCCGGUGUCAGUUUACCAGCAAUGACACUCCCUGGUGCCACCCUAAAAAGCUGAGGGUAAUAGGAGAUCAAGGGUUUUCCACAUCCCUCUGAUUUGGAAAAGCAGGUAAUGUUUUGUAAAGUGGAAUACCAGAAAGACUUUAACAUACGGUUGUGAAGGGCCAUAAAAGAGACACUGUUAUUGCUCUCCCUAAACAUGCACAAACAAACAAAAUCAUAUUUUUGACAACAAAAACAAUGACCUUUUUGUUUCUGUAUCUUAUCUGAAGGUUCUGCAGUGAUUUAUUCAUUCUUGCCUUGUGGUAGAAUUUAGAAACAUGUCUAUCAUGUCUGUGUGAGCCUUGAGGCAUUUGUAUACUGAACAAAAAUGUAAACGCAACAUGUUUUGGUCCUAUGUUUCAUGACCUGAAAUAAAAGAUUACAGAAAUGUCCC
ensembl:lncRNA